rnacentral:rRNA from 1 species
UUCCGGUUGAUCCUGCCGGAGGACAUUGCUAUUGGGAUUCGAUUUAGCCAUGCUAGUCGAACGAGUUCAGACUCGUGGCGAAUAGCUCAGUAACACGUGGCCAAGCUCCCCUUCAGUCAGCGAUACCCUCGGGAAACUGAGGUUAACAGCUGAUACAAAACGCCAGCUGGAAUGCGGCGUUUCAGAAAGACAUCGCUGAAGGAUGCGGCUGCGGCCGAUUAGGUAGACGGUGGGGUAACGGCCCACCGUGCCAGUAAUCGGUACGGGUGAUGAGAGUCAGAGCCCGGAGACGGAAUCUGAGACAAGAUUCCGGGCCCUACGGGGCGCAGCAGGCGCGAAACCUUUACACUGCACGGGAGUGCGAUAGGGGAAUCCCAAGUGCGAGGGCAUAUUAGCCCUCGCUUUUCUCGACUGUAAGGUGGUCGACGAAUAAGAGCUGGGCAAGACCGGUGCCAGCCGCCGCGGUAAUACCGGCAGCUCAAGUGAUGUCCCAUAUUAUUGGGCCUAAAGCGUCCGUAGCUGGCCGACCAAGUCUACCGGGAAAUCCACCCGCCCAACGGGUGGGCGUCCGGUAGAAACUGGCCGGCUUGGAACCGGAAGGCUCAGAGAGUACGUCCGGGGUAGGAGUGAAAUCCCGUAAUCCCGGACGGACUACCGAUGGCGAAAGCACUCCGAGAAGACGGCUUCGACAGUGAGGGACGAAAGCUCGGGUCUCAAACCGGAUUAGAUACCCGGGUAGUC